UUUUACUUUAUAAAACAAACCCCUCCAUUUUGUGACAAUUAAACAAAUAAAACUCUUGCUCCUCGUGGGAACGAAUUUGAUUACACUAUAUUACUUGUUAAUUAGGUGGAAAAAUAUUAAUUCAUUUGUUGUGGUUAUGACACGCAUCAGUUUGGCUUGUGAAGUAUUGGUGGCUAGUUCUACCGUGUUUGAAGUUUUUAGCGAAAGCACUCACAUGGUGGACCUUGAAUACCAGACUUGCACCUGUCAAAGGUGGCGCGUAUAUGGUUUCCCUUGUCAUCAUGCUCUUGCAGCCAUACAGAGAUUAAACUUGAAGCUAUUAAUUUCAUUUCAACGUAUUUUACAAGUGACUAUUUUAGGAAGACUUAUCUACAUUCCAUCCAGCCGAUUCCCAACUACAACAGGCCUGUUGAAAUUCAAGAAGACGACACCAUCAACCCGCCUAUCGUAAAGAAGCAACCAGGUAGACCCCCAGGAAAAAGGAUUCUAAGUAAAGGUGAGAAGAAGGUAAAGAGGAAAGUUCAUUGAAGCAAUUGCAAGGAAGCAGGUCAUAACAGGGCAGGUUGUAAGAAUCCCCCGAAGUACACAACACCCUAGCUUUAAGCUGAAGAAGUUCAUUUCUGCAAGUAUUGAUUUUAUGCGUGGUUUCUUAUUUGUCUUGGAUUAUUUGUUUUUUAUGGACCAAACUUUUUUAUUUUUCUGCAACGUUGAUUAUUUGCAAGGAUCAUUUAUUCAGAUUUUAUAUUUUGUGAGUUCACAGGCGAAAUGUGUUUCUAUUCCCAGCGUGUGUCUUAUGAACACAGAAGGGAAAUGCAUGUGUAACUUUGGUUUACACUUAUAAAAUAUGUAUGUGUAACUAUUACUUACACAUUUCUAUUU